AGCGAUGUGGCGAGGUUGGCGACAUUUAUAUUCCCCGGGAUCGCUUCACGCGCGAAAGCCGCGGCUUUGCGUUUGUCAGAUUUUAUGAUAAGCGCGAUGCGGAAGACGCAUUAGAUGCCAUGGAUGGAAGGCUGUUGGACGGUAGGGAACUCCGAGUUCAAAUGGCGCGGUAUGGACGUCCGACGUCUCCGCAUCGUAGCCGUGGAAGUCGUCGUCGUGGAAGAUCACGAAGUAGAAGUAGAGAUCGCAGGCGUUCGCGAUCUCGAUCCCGUAGUAGGUCGCGUAGUCGUGACAGAGACCGCAGGCGCUCUUACAGCCGCAGCCGUAGUCGCUCUCGUUCGGAUAGCAAGAGCUCACGUGGCAAAUCACGCUCGCGUAGCAAAUCUCAGGACAGGCAAAAAGAUAGUCGUUCCAAAUCCAGGGACUGAACUAAUCGAAGAGUGUGCGAGAGGAUAAGAAUGAAUGCGCGCGUAUCCAACGAGUGCCGAAUAAUCUAUAUUGAGAUUGAAAAAAAAAAAGGCGGUGGAAAGGAGUGGCGUGGCGCGGGUGUAGCCGAUGAUGGGGUAGCUGAGAGUAAGCAGUAAGCCGAGUAGCAGGGGGCUGUAAGCAGUUUGCAGUAGCGAGAGAGAGCGGUGUUGGUGGUGCGGUGCGAUGCGGUGCGAUGCGGUCCGGUCCAUUCCGAUGCAAUGGUCUGGUGAUCCGAUUCGUUUUGCGGGUUUGCAAAAAAUCAGGGCGAAAGAGAGACGGGGAGAUAGAAAGUGACGUAUGUCGAGCGACAGAGAUAGUAAGAAAGGAUAGAUGCCAGUUCAUCUGCAAGUUAACAAUCAUCGCGGAUCCACUGUCGACUUCUUCGGGCGUCGUCAGGGAUGCAGUGUCGGGUUCUAGCAUCGCGCGACAGACCAUCACCAGACCUCGUGAACAUAGAAAUGACUGAUUACAGAACGUCAUAUUCAUCGAUCGAUCAUCGAUAAACGGAGUCAUGUGUUCAUGGUAAACUCACAACGCACACAUUGUGUGUAGAGUAUGGUAGCUUUAACCCUCAGUUACCAUACUUCAGUCACGGUCACCACACUAUUAUCACACUAAUGCAAAUUUGGCUUUUUCAUUUUUCAUUAUGUAACUUUGAAACAAAAAAAGCAAAAGUAGUUCAAUUAUAUAGUUUUUCAGGGUAAAAUUUUCCUGACAACUCAUCGAUAAUAAUAAAAUUAAGCAAAAACAAUAUUUUAU